GAUGAAGAACGUAGCGAAAUGCGAUACUUGGUGUGAAUUGCAGAAUCCCGUGAACCAUCGAGUCUUUGAACGCAAGUUGCGCCCGAAGCCACUAGGCCGAGGGCACGCCUGCCUGGGCGUCACACGCCGUUGCCCCCCCAUCUACUCCUUCGGGAUUGCGGGGGGGCGGAUGAUGGCCUCCCGUGCGCCUAGCCGCGCGGUUGGCAUAAAUACCAAGUCCUCGGCGACGCACGCCACGACAAUCGGUGGUUGCGAAACCUCGGUUGCCGUCGUGUGCGUUCGUCGCGCAUCGAGGGCUCGAAAAAAUGCUCGGCUCCGGCUGGGCUUUCAACGCGACCCCAGGUCAGGCGGGGUUACCCGCUGAAUUUAAGCAUAUCAAUAAGCGGAGGA
rnacentral:misc_RNA from 1 species